rnacentral:rRNA from 1 species
UACGAAGGGGGCUAGCGUUGUUCGGAAUUACUGGGCGUAAAGGGCGCGUAGGCGGCGUGUCAAGUCAGGCGUGAAAGCCCCGGGCUCAACCUGGGAACCGCGCUUGAGACUGGCAUGCUCGAGUUCGGGAGAGGAUGGUGGAAUUCCCGGUGUAGCGGUGAAAUGCGCAGAUAUCGGGAGGAACACCUAUGGCGAAGGCAGCUCGCUGGGACGUUACUGACGCUGAGACGCGAAAGCGUGGGGAGCAAACAGG